rnacentral:rRNA from 1 species
UGGGGAAUAUUGGACAAUGGGUGAGAGCCUGAUCCAGCCAUGCCGCGUGCAGGAAGAAGGCGUUAUGCGUUGUAAACUGCUUUUGCCAGGGGAUAAAAAGACCGUGCGCGGUUAAUUGAAGGUACCUGGUGAAUAAGCCACGGCUAACUACGUGCCAGCAGCCGCGGUAAUACGUAGGUGGCAAGCGUUGUCCGGAUUUAUUGGGUUUAAAGGGUGCGUAGGUGGCCCUGUAAGUCAGUGGUGAAAUAUCUCAGCUUAACUGAGAGGGUGCCAUUGAUACUGCAGGGCUUGAGUACAGAUGAGGUAGGCGGAAUUGACGGUGUAGCGGUGAAAUGCAUAGAUAUCGUCAAGAACACCGAUAGCGAAGGCAGCUUACCAAGCUGUAACUGACACUGAGGCACGAAAGUGUGGGGAUCAAACAGGAUUAGAUACCCCUGUAGUCCCUGAGCGGGCUGGCAAGGCGCAU